CAGGAGUUCGCACUGGACUUCCGGACGCUGGCUGCCAACGCGGGAUGGAAUGAGAGGGCCUUCAUUGACCACUACAGAUUUAGCCUGAGGGAGGACGUGCAUCGGGAAUUGGCCUAUAUUAUAUUGUGCUCAGAGUGUAAUAUACUGUGUGUCCUCUUACUGUAAUCCUAAUAUAAUAAUAAUUAUAAUAAUUAUAAUAUCUCUGGUGGACAGAUGAGAGAAUCUGUCAAGGCUCACGUGGAAAUAUGUGAUUACGAGCAGCAGUAGUAUUUUCUGGUUUUUGAUUUUCGUCGUUGAUUAUUUGGAGGAAUCAGGAUUGGGCGAAGGCGGUGCUUAAACUGAUGCAGUAAUUUUCAAGCCCGUGUGCGGAUGAUAAACGGUUUCCACUAGAUUCCACAGCCACAAAGUCAAAAUUGGCUAUAUUGUCAAAAUUCAUGAAACAAAAAUGUGCUUUUUGGCCAUGAUAAACAUGGGUGAAAUCUGCGGAAGGGAGGGGUUUGCCCGAGAGUUUCCGUUUACGAGGGAGGAGACUUUGCUUCCUUCCUUUGCACAAAGGAACACACAGACACACACACACACGUCCUUCCUCUUCUCUCCCCUACAGGCCCAUGUUAGAGAUGACCAUUCCGUCGGUGUUGGCUCCCCCUGGCUGUCAGGUAGUUUCACUGUUCACCCAGUUUGUUCCAUACUGUCUGGAUGGAGGGAGAGCGUGGACAGACCGGGACACAGAGGCCUUUGCAGACUCAGAAUAUCUUCCACGGAGCAAUGUCAUUGGCUCAGCUCUACCUCGCUCGACCUCUGCCCUCCCUUUCAGACUACCGUUCACCAAAGGACCUUAUCUGUGUGGGAGCGGCUGCCAUCCAGGUGGUGGAGUGAUGGGGUCUCCAGGGUGGAAUGCUGCUCUGGCUGCCAUGGCUGGCCUGAAACGUGGCUGAAACCUUACCAACUCGCUCUGAUGGGAGGGAGAGAUGGAUGGAGGGAGAGAUGGAUGGA